rnacentral:rRNA from 1 species
AACGCGAAGAACCUUACCUGGGCUAGAAUGCUGGGAGACCGAGGGUGAAAGCUCUCUUUGUAACAAUACACUGCCAGUAAGGUGCUGCAUGGCUGUCGUCAGCUCGUGCCGUGAGGUGUUGGGUUAAGUCCCGCAACGAGCGCAACCCUUGCCCUGUUUUGCCACCAUUAAGUUGGGAACUAUCAGGGGACCGCCAGCGAUAAGUUGGAGGAAGGUGGGGAUGACGUCAAGUCAUCAUGGCCUUUAUGUCCAGGGCUACACACGUGCUACAAUGGACGGUACAAUGCGCUGCCAACCCGCGAGGGGGAGCAAAUCGCAAAAAACCGUUCUCAGUUCGGAUUGCAGGCUGCAACUCGCCUGCAUGAAGCUGGAAUCGCUAGUAAUGGCAUAUCAGAAUGAUGCCGUGAAUACGUUCCCGGGCCUUGUACACACCG